UAAGCUUCUAACCGUGAGUCAACCUGAUCAAUUUUUCCAGAAAUAAUAUCCAGAGUAUUCAUAAUGGUCGUUAGAGUCGCUUUGUUCUCCAACUCCAACUCUUUGCUACCUUCAUUCUCGCUAGAACCCUUUCCCGCUGCAUCAGCUUCAGACUCAUUAUGUGUCUUAACUUUCUUCUGCUUCUUAGUGGGUAGCUCAGCUUCUGACGAAACUCCACCCUUCAUUCUCUUCUUCUCAUUCCCCUUCCCCUUCCCCUUUGCAUUCCCCUGCACUUCC
rnacentral:lncRNA from 1 species